AAAAUCUCAACUUUAUUAGAAGAGACGCAUUUAUUAGAUAAAAAGCCAGUUCAUGCUUUUACAGUAUGAAAAUUGGUGAUUUAUAAUAACUUAGCAAAUCGCAAAGUGAAAACAGGCGAUAAAUCAUUCAAGUUUCUGACCUAUCAGCUUUCGACGGUAUGGUAUUGGCUUACCGUGGCAGUGACGGUUAACGGGGGAUUAGGGUUCGAUUCCGGAGAGGGAGCCUGAGAAACGGCUACCACAUCUAAGGAAGGCAGCAGGCGCGCAAAUUACCCAAUUCUAACAGUUUGAGAGAGGUAGUAACAAGAAAUAACAAUACAAGGCAGUUAAAAUGCUUUGUAAUUGGAAUGAUAGAAAUUUAAACCCUUUUUAAAGUAUCAAUUGGAGGGCAAGUCUGGUGCCAGCAGCCGCGGUAAUUCCAGCUCCAAUAGCGUAUAUUAAAAUUGUUGCAGUUAAAAAGCUCGUAGUUGAAGUUCUGCUAAAAGUAACCGGUCUGCUUUUAAUAAAAGUGGUAUCUUGGUAUGUAUUUAGCAAUGAUGUCCUUUGAAGUGUUUUUUACUUUAUUGUAAUAAAGCAUAUUCAGGACUUUUACUUUGAGAAAAUUAGAGUGUUUCUAGCAGGCUGACGCUUUGAAUACUGCAGCA
rnacentral:rRNA from 1 species